UUUAGAUGAAUUGCUUUAUUGACAUAUAUAUCUUCAAUAGAUAAGAGGAGCGGUAGGGACAAGAAGAUAGAUUGAUUGAACGAGAGCAAGUAUAGAUAAGGAUGUGGAUGUAGAUACAUAGCUAAACCAAAUUAAGCAACAUGGCAUGGUUCAGCUUAAGCCCCCUUUUGUUUUGUUUUGAGAGAUUCCAAACCAGCCCAUAUUUAUAGACAAAACAUUAAAACCAAACCAAUCCCUCCUCCUUGACGACCCCAUAAAUCAUUAUUACCUCAAUAUUAAACCUCCAUCGACCCUGAAAUUUUUUAACUCCAUCGCUGUUGGACGAUAUGAAUCAAUAUGAAGAUGCAAGCAGUUGCUUCAACAUGGGUUCGUUGGAGACAAGUCUUCCUCAAAAAAGAGGGUUGUCAAGGUAUUACUCAGGGAAGGCAAGAUCUUUUACCUGCAUGGCGGACGUUCGAAGUGUAGAUGACCUUAAGAAACAAGAGAAUCCAGAAGCCAAGAAAAGGAAGCUCAAAUAUUUGAAUAGGAAUAAAGAUGUGCAAUAUCAAUGUCGAAGGGUUUCAAGUACCACCCACUUUUCCACACCACUCGUUCAUUAAUCAUGAGGCUUUUCCUCCUUCUGUAAAUUACAUAAUUUACAGCUCCAAUUUCCUUAGCUUCUUAUGUUCUAAUAUAAUAAUAUAAUUUUUAUAUAUUA